rnacentral:rRNA from 1 species
UGCAAGUCGAACGAGAAUCUACUGAAGGAGGAUUCGUCCAACGGAAGUAGAGGAAAGUGGCGGACGGGUGAGUAACGCGUGAGGAACCUGCCUUGAAGAGGGGGACAACAGUUGGAAACGACUGCUAAUACCGCAUGAUGCAUAGGGGUCGCAUGAUCUUUAUGCCAAAGAUUUAUCGCUUCAAGAUGGCCUCGCGUCUGAUUAGCUGGUUGGCGGGGUAACGGCCCACCAAGGCGACGAUCAGUAGCCGGACUGAGAGGUUGAACGGCCACAUUGGGACUGAGAUACGGCCCAGACUCCUACGGGAGGCAGCAGUGGGGAAUAUUGGGCAAUGGGCGCAAGCCUGACCCAGCAACGCCGCGUGAAGGAAGAAGGCUUUCGGGUUGUAAACUUCUUUUAAGAGGGAAGAGCAGAAGACGGUACCUCUAGAAUAAGCCACGGCUAACUACGUGCCAGCAGCCGCGGUAAUACGUAGGUGGCAAGCGUUGUCCGGAUUUACUGGGUGUAAAGGGCGUGCAGCCGGGUCUGCAAGUCAGAUGUGAAAUCCAUGGGCUCAACCCAUGAACUGCAUUUGAAACUGUAGAUCUUGAGUGUCGGAGGGGCAAUCGGAAUUCCUAGUGUAGCGGUGAAAUGCGUAGAUAUUAGGAGGAACACCAGUGGCGAAGGCGGAUUGCUGGACGAUAACUGACGGUGAGGCGCGAAAGUGUGGGGAGUAAACAGGAUUAGAUACCCUGGUAGUCCACACUGUAAACGAUGAAUACUAGGUGUGCGGGGACUGACCCCCUGCGUGCCGCAGUAAACACAAUAAGUAUUCCACCUGGGGAGUACGAUCGCA